ensembl:lncRNA
UAUGAUUCACAUCAGAAACAUGGCGUCGCGAAGGAAGUCUGGAAGCGGCGUUCUUGAAAAAGGUGCCAAUGGAAGACGGUCUUCAAAACUUAAAGAUGGGCCCAUAGGCUGAGCUUCUACUGAGUGGGCAGAAUGGACAGCAUGAAUUCAGACAAGGGUAAAAUCAUGGCUCCUCUGCCUAAAUCCUAUGUGUGCAUGUGUGUGUCUUUUCUGUAGUGUAUGCAUGAUAUGCUGUUGUUAACUUGCCGUGUUUUAAUGUUUCAUCUGUGUUUAUAAAGUCUGUGAGUGUUUGCAGUAACUCUUGAGUUAUUUACUACAUUGUAUUGAAAGCUUUACUCAUGUAUCAUCACUGCAUAAGAAAAACACUUAAUGUUCCCUUUUACUUGGGCAUAUUAUUGGCAUAAUAAUUGAUUAUCAUUAGUUGCUGUUGUUUUUUCUGCUGUGGCGACCCCUAAAGGGAGCAGCCGAAAGAAGAAUAAGAAGAAGAAGUUCCUUUUGUUUUUGUAAUCUUCAAUAUCAUUAGGACUAAUCCCAAAAUAUGAAACAGUCAAAAACAUGAGUAAGCAGAGAUUAAAAUACGUUUUCCUGUUUACUUUUCACUUAUG